rnacentral:lncRNA from 1 species
UUUUUGCUGAUUUAUAUUUCCCAGUUUCUAUAUAAUAAACAUGUAUUACUUUGGUAAUAAAUAAAACAAGGGAUGAAAAUACCAAUAGUCUACAACUGUCCAUUCCCUAGCACAAGUAAAACACUCCUCAUAGGUGGUGCAUAUUACAGAGUUCUGAGCUAUCAUGUCACCUCUACCAGUGACCUACUAAACAGUAGUGAGAAAAGGGCAGGUCUGACAGGAUAAACUGGAGUAAUAAUUAGUAAGCUACGUGCUUUACAAAGUGCUUUCAUGGACAUGACCUCGUUUGAUCUUCAUAACUCAGUGAAAUGAGCAGAGAAGGCAUUAUCCCAUUUUAUAGAGGGGAAAGAGACAAUGAGCAAGGCCAGCUAAGUGUCAUGUCCCAAAAUUACAAAUCUUGGAUUUAAAUUGAGCCUUGACUAUAAAUUCUGACAGGCAUUCUAAGAGGAAUAGGGAACAAUCACUUCUGAUUAUUUAUAACUAGAAGGCAGUGAUUUAUAUGUGAAUUUAAAAAUAACCGUAUUUGCAAUUGUAUUAGUAUUCCUAUUAGAAUAUGCUGGGGGCCUCAGGGAUUUCCUAAAUCCCUAGGGCCCAACCGUGGAAGCUAUAUCUUGGCAACCCCAGCUUGCCCCUAGUCAACAUUACCUACUAAAGCACUGACAUUCAAAAAGAAUCUAAUUGCUUAGUUUUCAGAUGCAUUUCUUUCCUUCUUGAAAAACAGAAAGUAUCACCUUUUAGUUUAAAGCUGGUAAAAGAAAGUAACCAUAACUAUAUUUAUGAAUCCUGCAAAUAGUGACUUACAAGUUGAUGUCAAAAGAUCUAACUUAAUGGUACUUUAAAAUACCACCUUUUGGGCCAAACUUUUGUGUAUACCUGUAGACAAGAAACAGUCUCCAACUUCAAGUAUAUUCAGUGAAGAAAAUGAUCCAACUCCUCACAAAAAUAUCAGUAAACAUCUUUGGAGGCGUAUUAUUAACAAGCUGGUCAGCAUCUACUAGUGAAGCUUUGAAGCAUAAGGAAUCCGUAUAGCUAACCACUCCUACUAAUACUCCCAUGACUACCAGAAACUUAAAAGGUAAUUAAUUAAUGGUAGCUCUUGUUUUCUGGGCACUUCCUGUGUUAUCAGACACUCAACUAACCUCUUUAUAUACAUGAUCUUUAAAACAACCCUAUGAGAUGACUAUUAUCAACUCCAUUUUAUAGAUGAGGAACCUGAGUUUAAGUUACCCCAAAUCAUAAAACCAGUAAAAGCUUAAAGUGGAAUUCAAACUCUAGUAUAUUUUAUUUCAAAGAUGGGGCCUUUGUAGUUCUCUGGAAUACAAAUAUAACUUUUCUCUAGUGUAAGCCACCUACAGUGGUCUCAACACUUGGCAAUGAAUGGUAUGUGAAGUUCAUGAGUCUAUAUUUUCCAAAUAAAGAAAAAAUAUCCAGAGCCCACAAUUUAUGUCUGAUACUUUGCCACAUUCUAGAAUAGUUUGCUUUAAUAGCUGGUUUCUAUUAAAGCAUUGUUUUAACCCUUUUGAGCUGACAUGAUCACAUGAAAGAUAAAUUAAAAGAGUAUUUAAAUAAAAGUUAGCAAAAGAUAAUAUUAAAGAAACUACUCUCAUAGAUUAAUAUUUUAACACUGUCUUAUAUUAAUAAAUGAGUAAAUUAGUCUUAAAUCCAAGUCAGUGGAACUGAAUUUGCCAGAUGUUUUGGAUCAUGAAGACAGGAAGCAUUUCUAUGAAUAAGAAAGUGUUUAAAUGACUAUUAUAAUUAUAAGUAAUGCAAUAUUUCUAUGGAAUAUUAUGCAAUCAUCAAAAUAUAUAAUUUCAAAUAAUAUUUAAUGACAGAUACAAUAAAAUGAAUGUGAUUCUAAGGAAGCAAGACACUCAACUAUUUAUGUGUUAAGCUGAACAAAGCUUAGAGGUUAGGCACUGUGCUAGGUGUUGGAAUUACAAAGUGAACAAGAAAAGCACAAUCCCAAAUGCUGGACUACUUCUCACUGUAUUCUUUGCCUGAUUAGGACUUUCAGGUUGUUUAAAUAUCAGUUUUAGUGUCAUUUCCUCAGAGAAGCUUCUCAUCACUUUUUGUAAAGUAGCUUCCCCUCUACCUCUUCCUUUGUUUAAACUCUUUAUUUUGUUUUCUGUUUCCUUGAUUUUCUUUUAUCUGCAUCUACUGAGAUAUUUAUGAGGUUCUAGUCCUUCAUUCUAUUAAUAAGGUAUAUUACAUUAAUCAAUUGUUUCAGGGUGAAGACAACCAUUCCUUUCUGAGACAAGCAUAUACAACUAGCAUCAUACUUAAUGGUAAAAGACUGAAUGCUCUGCCCUAUAAUGCUGGUAAAAAGGCAAGAUGUCUCCUUUAGACAUCACUAUUCAACACUGUACCAGAGAGUUCACUCAGUGCAAUCAGGCCAGAAAUAUAAAGACACAUAGAUUGGAAAAGAGAAAGUUAAAACUCUAUUCGCAGGCAACAUCAUCUUGUAUGUAGGUAAUUCUAAGAAGGCUACAAAAAAGCUACUAAGAAAGUUUAGAAAGGUUGCAGGAUAUAAGCUCAAAUGUAAAAAUUAAUUGCAUUUCUAUAUACUAGAAAUAACCCCAAAAUGAAAUUUUAAAAAUUCCACUUACAAUAGCAACUAAAAGAGUAAGAGACUUAAGCAUAAAUUUAAUAGGGGUGCCUGGGUGGCUCAGCCGUUAAAUGUUUGACUCUAGUUUGAUUUUAGUUCAGGUCAUGAUCUCAGGGUCAUGAUAUCAAGCUCCACAUAGGGCUCCUGUGCUGGGUGUGAAAACUGCUUAAGAUUCUCUCUCUCCCUCUCUCUCUGGUCCUAUGCACUAUCCCCACCCUGCUUGCUCUCUCUAAAAAAAAAAAAAAAAAAAAAAAAA